AGAGUUUGAUCAUGGCUCAGGAUGAACGCUAGCGGCAGGCUUAAUACAUGCAAGUCAAGGGGGUAGCAAUNCAACCGGCGCACGGGUGAGUAACGCGUACACAACAUGCCAUAUACUGGGGUAUAGCUUCGGGAAACUGAAGGUAAUCCCCCAUAACAUUGCGAGAGGGCAUCCGAUAGCAAUUAAAGUUUCGGCGGUAUAUGAUUGGUGUGCGUUUGAUUAGCUAGUUGGUAGGGUAACGGCCUACCAAGGCGACGAUCAAUAGCUGGCGUGAGAGCGCGACCAGCCACACUGGAACUGAGACACGGUCCAGACUCCUACGGGAGGCAGCAGUAGGGAAUAUUGGACAAUGGGCGCAAGCCUGAUCCAGCCAUGCCGCGUGAUAGAUGAAGGCCCUCUGGGUUGUAAAUAUCUUUUAUCUGGGAAGAAACUCCUCUAUUCUUAGAGGCCUGACGGUACCAGAGGAAUAAGCACCGGCUAACUCCGUGCCAGCAGCCGCGGUAAUACGGAGGGUGCAAGCGUUAUCCGGAUUCACUGGGUUUAAAGGGUGCGUAGGCGGGCUGAUAAGUCAGUGGUGAAAGCUCCGAGCUUAACUUGGAAACUGCCAUUGAUACUGCCAGUCUUGAAUGUCGUAGAGGUAAGCGGAAUGUUGCAUGUAGCGGUGAAAUGCUUAGAUAUGUUACAGAACACCAAUUGCGAAGGCAGCUUACUAUGCGAUGAUUGACGCUGAGGCACGAAAGCGUGGGGAGCAAACAGGAUUAGAUACCCCGGUAGU
rnacentral:rRNA from 1 species